rnacentral:rRNA from 1 species
AGAACGAACGCUGGCGGCAUGCCUAAUACAUGCAAGUCGAACGAACUCUUCGGAGUUAGUGGCGCACGGGUGCGUAACGCGUGGGAAUCUGCCCCUUGGUUCGGAAUAACAGUUGGAAACGACUGCUAAUACCGGAUGAUGACGAAAGUCCAAAGAUUUAUCGCCAAGGGAUGAGCCCGCGUAGGAUUAGCUAGUUGGUGAGGUAAAGGCUCACCAAGGCUACGAUCCUUAGCUGGUCUGAGAGGAUGAUCAGCCACACUGGGACUGAGACACGGCCCAGACUCCUACGGGAGGCAGCAGUAGGGAAUAUUGGACAAUGGGGGCAACCCUGAUCCAGCAAUGCCGCGUGAGUGAUGAAGGCCUUAGGUUGUAAAGCUCUUUACCCGAGUAUGAUAAUGACAGUAUCGGAAGAAUAAGCUCCGGCUAACUCCGUGCCAGCAGCCGC